CGAAAUCUAUUUAGGUAGAGCGUCAUCCGAAUACCCCCGGGGGUAGAGCACUGGAUGGGUAAUGGGGCCCCACAGGCUUACUGAUCCUAACCAAACUCCGAAUACCCGGGAGUACUGAUUGGCAGACACACGGCGGAUGCUAACGUCCGUCGUGGAGAGGGAAACAACCCUGACCUCCAGCUAAGGCCCCUAAUUCAUGGCUAAGUGGGAAAGCAGGUGGGACGACCAAAACAACCAGGAGGUUGGCUUAGAAGCAGCCAUCCUUUAAAGAUAGCGUAACAGCUCACUGGUCUAAACAAGUUGUCCUGCGGCGAAGAUGUAUCGGGGCUCAAGCCAUGAGCCGAAGCUGAGGAUGCCGUAAGGCAUGGUAGCGGAGCGUAGUGUG
rnacentral:rRNA from 14 species